rnacentral:sRNA from 1 species
ACCGGGCGUGGUGGCACAUGCCUGUAAUCCCAGCAGCUCAGGAGGCUGAGGCAGGAGGAUCACGAGUUCAAAGCCAGCCUCAGCAACUUAGCAAGGCCCUAAGCAACUCAGUGAGACCCUGUCUCUA